AGUUGGAUAGCUCAGUCAUUAGAGCAUGGGACUCUUAAUCUCAGGGUUGCAGGUUCGAGCCCCACGUUGGGUG